UACGGAGGGUGCAAGCGUUGUUCGGAUUCAUUGGGCGUAAAGGGUGCGUAGGCGGCGCGGUAAGUCGGGUGUGAAAUCUCGGAGCUUAACUCCGAAACUGCAUUCGAUACUGCCGUGCUUGAGGACUGGAGAGGAGACUGGAAUUUACGGUGUAGCGGUGAAAUGCGUAGAUAUCGUAAGGAAGACCAGUGGCGAAGGCGGGGUCUCUGGACAGUUCCUGACGUGAGGCACGAAGGUCAGGGGAGCAAACGGGG
rnacentral:rRNA from 1 species